GUAGGCAAAUCCGCCCGUCAUAUACCGAGGCCAACGAUCGAGCCAGCUUGCUGGUGAAGUGACUGAACGAGGUUCCAGGAAAAGCCACUAAGCUUCAGCUAUACACGACCGUACCGCAAACCGACACUGGUGCGCGAGAUGAGUAUUCUAAGGCGCUUGAGAGAACUCAGGAGAAGGAACUCGGCAAAUUGACACCGUAACUUCGGAAGAAGGUGUGCCCUAUUAGUGUGAAGUGAACAACGGAGCAUGAAUGGGUUGCAAAAAAUCGGUGGCUGCGACUGUUUAUUAAAAACACAGCACUCUGCAAACACGAAAGUGGACGUAUAGGGUGUGACGCCUGCCCGGUGCUGGAAGAUUAAAUGAUGGGGUGCAAGCUCUUGAUUGAAGUCCCAGUAAACGGCGGCCGUAACCAUAACGGUCCUAAGGUAGCGAAAUUCCUUGUCGGGUAAGUUCCGACCUGCACGAAUGGCGUAACGAUGGCCACACUGUCUCCUCCUGAGACUCAGCGAAGUUGAAAUGUUUGUGAUGAUGCAAUCUCCCCGCGGAAAGACGGAAAGACCCCAUGAACCUUUACUGUAGCUUUGUAUUGGACUUUGAACAGAUCUGUGUAGGAUAGGUGGGAGGCUUUGAAGCAGGGUCGCUAGAUCUUGUGGAGCCAACGUUGAAAUACCACCCUGGUGUGUUUGAGGUUCUAACCUAGGUCCAUUAUCUGGAUCGGGGACAGUGCAUGGUAGGCAGUUUGACUGGGGCGGUCUCCUCCCAAAGCGUAACGGAGGAGUUCGAAGGUACGCUAGUUACGGUCGGACAUCGUGACGAUAGUGCAAUGGCAUAAGCGUGCUUAACUGCGAGACUGACAAGUCGAGCAGAUGCGAAAGCAGGACAUAGUGAUCCGGUGGUUCUGUAUGGAAGGGCCAUCGCUCAACGGAUAAAAGGUACUCUGGGGAUAACAGGCUGAUACCGCCCAAGAGUUCAUAUCGACGGCGGUGUUUGGCACCUCGAUGUCGGCUCAUCUCAUCCUGGGGCUGUAGCCGGUCCCAAGGGUAUGGCUGUUCGCCAUUUAAAGAGGUACGUGAGCUGGGUUUAAAACGUCGUGAGACAGUUUGGUCCCUAUCUUCCGUGGGCGCUGCAGAUUUGAGGAAGCCUGCUCCUAGUACGAGAGGACCGGAGUGGACACACCUCUGGUGUAUCGGUUGUCACGCCAGUGGCAUUGCCGAGUAGCUAAGUGUGGAAGAGAUAACCGCUGAAAGCAUCUAAGCGGGAAACUCGUUUCAAGAUGAGAUCUGCCGGGGCCUUGAGCCCCCUGAAGAGUCGUUCAAGACCAGGACGUUGAUAGGUCAGGUGUGGAAGCGCAGUAAUGCGUUAAGCUAACUGAUACUAAUUGCUCGUGCGGCUUGACC
rnacentral:rRNA from 1 species